GCGUCCAGCUAGGAAAAUCGUUUAACCAGGAGAUGCAACCUGUCCAGGGAAGUGAAACUCUGAGUUUCAUUUAUUCAGCUUUGUAAUUCGUCUGGGCUUUUGUGCACAUUUGGUGUCAUUGAAGUUUGAUGAAGCCCAUCUGAUAAAGAAUUAGCUAGUCAAUAUGCUCGAAACCCGUCGUAUCACGUAUGAGUUGAACACGUUUCUUUCUCUGCCGCCGGGAUAUAGGGUCACACCUAGGGUUUCAAAUCAGUUGCUUCAUCUUCUUCCUACCGAUCUCAGAAAUCCACAAGUUACAGAUUCCUCCUAUUAAAGUCUUCUUAAAAUCAUCAUCCACGAUCUACUUUCAAUGUGAACUUUGCUCUUAGAAGGCGGUGGGACUUCAAGUAUAUAAAGAAGUUGAGUUGUUGAAAGAGAGGAUGGCGAAGCUACUGCUUGGUGAAGACAUGUCAGGUUCUGGUGAAGGAGUUUGUCCUGCCAUCUCUAACGCUAUUACCAAUCUCUACAGUAAUUAUCUUUAGCUAUGAAUGUUUAUAUGAUAUUAAGGAGAUAAAUGGUGGCUUCCUCUGCCAUGUGUGCCAUCUGAUGGAUUCUCUGAGCAGUCCAAGAAACAGCUUGACUGCACUUAUGAUUUCACUAACCAAAUUUUGAAAGCGUGUAAGUCAGUCAACAACAUUGCGUUAGCUGAAAUGGAAGUUCCAAAAGCAUACAUUGAAGCUCGUCCAAAGGUUACUUGCUUGGACUCAGUAGAUCUUUCUUCGGAGCAUGUUGUUGUGGAGAUGGAGAAUAGAGUAGAAGCAUCAACGUACAUCUGGAGGAGAAGAGCUCAUUCAAGGCAUUUGAUUUCACUGUAUAGAUCCACUGGUGCAAGACCCUCUUGGGGAGGGGGGUGAUAGUGAAAAAGAUGAUGAAUCAAGCGGUAACACUUUUGAUUGGUCGGAGAAGGGAAGCGGUUCGCAGCUGAAGAGAGCUCAAGAGAGAGAGAGAGAGAGCAUAAUCCCUAAACGGUAACACUCUUGAAAUUCCAAUCUACUUUUUUGAAUUUUGGUUUUCUUGAACAUUGGAGCUACUAAAGGAAAGUAUUUAUCGAUGUGGGUAGUGGAAAAGAAGUAUUGGAACAUGAUGGUUUGUUAACAAUAUUUUUUUUUUCCUAAAAUGUGAAUAUCAAAUUAAUGAAAGGCUUAGGUUUACAAGGCCUAUAUUUGUGUUACCUUGGCAAAAAAGAAUAAAAAACAAGGAGAACACAAUGGGGGAUUAAGAUGUUUGGUCACCUAAUCCAUAAUGACAUAGGAGAUUUGAAAGUCUUCUUAUGCCUUCGAGCUGUGAUUGUGUUGCGUACUUCUCUGUCUAUGGUCUUGAAAGUUACUUCAGUGGUGGUGUAUCCGUUGAGGUGCAAGGCAGAGUAUCGCUGUCUCCAAACGUUGUAGAUCGUAGCCUGCGUGACCAGAAUCCUGAGCGUUGAUGGUGCAGUUGGAGAAGAUUGCCGAGUCCAAGAUAGCAGCUCUCCCCAUGUGAAGAAGAGUUGAUGGUGAGGUUGUAGGCGCGCAAAGAUCCGAUUCAACAGAGAGACAGAGGAAUCUGAAGUUUGAGAUGUACAAGACUGAAACGGUGAACGGUGAGAUGAGCUUUGAACCUGAAAAUAUGGGGAUGAUGAAGGAGUGGCUGAAAGAGAAUGUAAAGGAGGAGAAAUAUGUGGUGAUGAAGGCAGAGUUUGAGGUGAUGGAGGUGAUAAUGAGGAGCAAGACGAUAAAAUGGUGGAUAAGUUUUGCUAGGGGUAAGGAGAAGGAACAUGGAAAGGGACGUGACAGAGAAUAUCUAUCAAACCAUGCAUUUUUUCUUUUUUCUUUUUUCUUUACAUUAUCUGCUUUUUUUUCUUCCAUUCUGUUGUUGGAAUUUGUUUUAAUCAUUCAUUCAUGUAUUGUCGUGUGUUUUUAGUAUUUUUUGUGGUGUUGUAGGUUUUGAGAUCUAAUGAGCCUAAUUAAUUAUGCUAAGUAAUUCCUCGCCGAA